AACACUUGCGGUUUCGGAUGUUUUCCAGGUACACGUGCGCCACCCCCUCCUCCUCCAAGACACAUUUUACGCCUGCACAUAUACGCAGUCAUCGCCACACAAACGUCCACAGAAGCAUUUGUACAGGUUCAGUGAAGAGUGGAGCGCAGACACAGGCAAGCGUGCAGGUGGCCAUUGUAGACUCAUCCUGUCACGCUGCUUCUCCUUUCUCGUUUCUGAAGUUUAUGCGCAGCUAGAGGGCUCGUGGGACAUCUUUGCUACACAGUCUUGCUCGUGCUCAUUUCGUCGCCGUAUCAAGCGGUUACAACACGCUGUCGAGAAGAGAAACACAGAUAAAGUAUGGGCCACGCUUCGGACGAAAGCGGGAGCGCAUCUGUCUACGACGAGAGCACCGAAACGACCGAGGAAGAAGCGUCCGAAAGUGGGUCGGAGUCGUCCCGUCAAUCUGGCGACGACCUCCCCAUCCCGGUCCCCGACCACCCGCAAGAGUCUCCUGUCGCUGUCAUCCCUACACGCGACCGUAUAGAUAGUGCUCUGUCGCCGAGCACUAUCAACGCCGACAAUUCCAGCGAAAGCCGUAACACCGGCCACGGACACCCAUUGGAGAGCCUGGCUGCCUUAAGGAUGGAGAACACCGCCGCUUCCGCUGUGCUUGGUGGACAGCUCAUGGUAAACAACCCAAAUGAUGAGCGGAUAGAGGUGCGCAACGCUGAGAACGUGAAGACACCACGUACGUCGCUUGGGCCAUCGUAUGCGCCGGAGGCGGACGCGAGUCGUGGCGGCGGUGGCAUGGGACAGCCAAUCGAGAACGCACCGCACGAUGAGGCCAUUCCAGUGUCUCCCUCAGCCAGUCAGGUAGCGACGCCGAUGGCAAUGAGGACAGGGCAGACGAUGCGUCCAGACGACGAUGACGACGAGAGGGAAGACGAGGACGAGGAGGACGAGGAGGAGACUGAGAUCGAUGAGGGCCGCGAGUACCGCGCGGAGGGCUACGCCGGCCAGAAACCCACCGAGCUUGCAGAGGCGGCACCAGUGAUGCAGGUCGGCGAUCCCCAGCUCGGGUACAACCCUGCCAAGUACGCCCGUAUCAACGCCACCGCCAGCCGUGAGAUGCAAGACCUUUUCAAGCAGAUCAUGGAGUAUGAGCCCUUUGCGGCGGAGCUGCCGGCCAAACUGCGGCCUUUUGUGCCGGACUACAUCCCGACGGUUGGCGAUCUCGACCCCUUUGUCAAGGUGCCGCGACCAGACGGUAUUCCAGACGGGCUGGGCCUGGAGAUUGUGGAUGAACCAGCCAUUCCGCAGUCGAAUCCAGCAGUGGUACUGCUGGAGUUGAACGCGACUAACGCUCACGGUGUUGCGGCGGACAUCGUGGACUCCCUUGAAAACGCGGCGAAUCGGCCGGAGGUGAUUGAUCGAUGGAUUUCCGACAUUAAAAAGGUGCACUACAAGAAGGCACUGCCGACGGUGAACUACCAGCGGCCCAUGCCAGACAUUGAGACGCUCAUGCAGGUAUGGCCGCAGCAGUUUGAGGAGGUUCUGAACUCCGACGUCGCCUUCCCUCCGUCGCAGAUCAACCUCGAUCUCGAUCAGUAUGUACGCACACUGUGCGCCAUCUUGGACAUUCCCACUUAUAGUUCCCUGAUUGACUCGCUGCACGUCAUGUUCACCCUCUACGAAGAGUUCCGCUCAAAUCAACACUUCCAGCACGUUUGAUGAGGUACCCCUUGCGUGAAUACGCAUGACGAGCAGUGCGCCGGCGCUUAUGUACUCACGGGGUUUGACUACGGAUACUGGAGGUGGGUGGGGACGAGAGAGCACAGUGGCACCACGCAACUGCUUCUGCAGUAGGCCGGAGUGCAGUUGAGAUGUGGUCGAGUGUGCUGUCUCCCAAUCAACUAAACGCGCCCACAAACUUGUGCACGUGCGACGAUAGACCCCCCCCCCUUGGGGGGGGGGGCUCCGUUACUCUGGCAGACGUAGCGGUACAAGGAGGUCCUGGUGGUUUCUGCCCAUCCUUUUCUCUUUUUCUGCGUAUUUGCGCCUGAGAGAUUCUUACAUUGCUGUGCAGAUGCCGUGGUGCGUGCCAUGAGUGUCAUGUCGCCUCUCCCUUCUCUUUUCCUUUGCCCUUCCAUCGCCAGGAAGCGCUUGACCAAGACCUUGUCUUACUCGUGCAUACACGCAUGUACGCGUACCACUUCGGCGUGCGCGCACACACACACACACAUGCAGGCGUUGCGUGUGUGCAUUGCCCCCCCUUUUUUGCCACCACGUCCUUUCCUUCUCUCAUGUUACCUGUUCUACUAUUACUUUUUUUUUCGUUCCUUCUCGUGCGAUUCGUGUUUGUUGUUUGGAGUGCGGCGGGUAUGAUGCUGGUGGUGGGCGUUCUUUGAUGCUCUCUUCUCUCUUUUGUUCUCUCCCUCCGUCUCUUCUCGGUGACGGUCAUGUACGUCUAGGCAAUGCGGUCCUUUCCUUUCUAUGUGUAUGUGUCUGCGAGCGCACAAGAGCAAGCCCCCACCCCUCCGCUCCCUCCCUGUGAAACAAAAAAGAAUGGAAUGAGGCACACAAAAGCGGCGAAGGAUGGGAAGGCGUACUCUCCCUCUCCCUUGUUCCGAGAUGCCGAUAAAAGCACGUGUGGAGGAGGCGUGGGACACCACGCCAGAUAUUGUCGCACAGUGCCGGUGGGCGGGCUGGUUCUGGUUACUUCGCAGACAUGCACAUAUCUCUGCACCACCUCGUGU
rnacentral:misc_RNA from 1 species